rnacentral:rRNA from 1 species
ACCAUGCAAGUCGAGGGGUAACAUUGUGCUUGCACAGAUGACGACCGGCGCACGGGUGCGUAACGCGUAUAGAAUCUACCUUUUACAGGGGGAUAGCCUUUAGAAAUGAAGAUUAAUAUCCCAUAGUAUUGAGACUUGGCAUCGAGACUUAAUUAAAGAUUUAUCGGUAAAAGAUGACUAUGCGUCCUAUUAGCUAGAUGGUAAGGUAACGGCUUACCAUGGCGACGAUAGGUAGGGGUCCUGAGAGGGAGAUCCCCCACACUGGUACUGAGACACGGACCAGACUCCUACGGGAGGCAGCAGUGAGGAAUAUUGGGCAAUGGAGGUAACUCUGACCCAGCCAUGCCGCGUGCAGGAAGACUGCCCUAUGGGUUGUAAACUGCUUUUAUACAGGAAGAAACACUGGUAUGUAUACCAGCUUGACGGUACUGUAAGAAUAAGGACCGGCUAACUCCGUGCCAGCAGCCGCGGUAAUACGGAGGGUCCGAGCGUUAUCCGGAAUCAUUGGGUUUAAAGGGUCCGCAGGCGGUCAAUUAAGUCAGAGGUGAAAUCCCAUAGCUUAACUAUGGAACUGCCUUUGAUACUGGUUGACUUGAGUCAUAUGGAAGUAGAUAGAAUGUGUAGUGUAGCGGUGAAAUGCAUAGAUAUUACACAGAAUACCGAUUGCGAAGGCAGUCUACUACGUAUGUACUGACGCUCAUGGACGAAAGCGUGGGGAGCGAACAGGAUUAGAUACCCUGGUAGUCCACGCCGUAAACGAUGGAUACUAGUUGUUGGGCAUAAGCUCAGUGACUAAGCGAAAGUGAUAAGUAUCCCACCUGGGGAGUACGGUCGCAAGACUGAAACUCAAAGGAAUUGACGGGGGCGCGCACA